GAUGAACGCUGGCGGCGUGCCUAAUACAUGCAAGUCGAGCGAACAGACGAGGAGCUUGCUCCUUUGACGUUAGCGGAGGACGGGUGAGUAACACGUAGGUAACCUACCUAUAAGACUGGGAUAACUUCGGGAAACCGGAGCUAAUACCGGAUAAUAUUUCGAACCGCAUGGUUCGAUAGUGAAAGAUGGCUUUGCUAUCACUUAUAGAUGGACCUGCGCCGUAUUAGCUAGUUGGUAAGGUAACGGCUUACCAAGGCAACGAUACGUAGGCGACCUGAGGGGCGGAUCGGCCACCCUGGAACUGGGACACGGUCCAGACGCCUACGGGAGGCAGCAGUAGGGAAUCUGCCGCAAUGGGCGAAAGCCUUACGGAGCAACGCCGCGUGAGUGAUGAAGGUCUUCGGAUCGGAAAACUCUGUUAUUAGUGAAGAACAAACUUGUAAGUAACUGUGCACGUCGUGACGGUACCUAAUCAGAAAGCCACGGCUAACUACGUG
rnacentral:rRNA from 1 species